UGGGGGAAUAUUGCACAAUGGGGGGAAGCCCUGAUGCAGCGACGCCGCGUGAGCGAAGAAGUAUUUCGGUAUGUAAAGCUCUAUCAGCAGGGAAGAAAAUGACGGUACCUGACUAAGAAGCACCGGCUAAAUACGUGCCAGCAGCCGCGGUAAUACGUAUGGUGCAAGCGUUAUCCGGAUUUACUGGGUGUAAAGGGAGCGUAGGCGGACCUUUAAGUGAGAUGUGAAAUACCCGAGCUCAACCUGGGUGCUGCAUUUCAAACUGGAGGUCUAGAGUGUCGGAGAGGUAAGUGGAAUUCCUAGUGUAGCGGUGAAAUGCGUGGAGAUUAGGAAGAACCCCGGUGGCGAAGGCGACUUACUGGACGAUAACUGACGCUGAGGCUCGAAAGCGUGGGGAGCAAACAGGAUUAGAUACCCUGGUAGU
rnacentral:rRNA from 1 species